CAAGUCGAGCGGAACGAGUUAUCUGAACCUUCGGGGGACGAUAACGGCGUCGAGCGGCGGACGGGUGAGUAAUGCCUAGGAAAUUGCCCUGAUGUGGGGGAUAACCAUUGGAAACGAUGGCUAAUACCGCAUGAUGCCUACGGGCCAAAGAGGGGGACCUUCGGGCCUCUCGCGUCAGGAUAUGCCUAGGUGGGAUUAGCUAGUUGGUGAGGUAAGGGCUCACCAAGGCGACGAUCCCUAGCUGGUCUGAGAGGAUGAUCAGCCACACUGGAACUGAGACACGGUCCAGACUCCUACGGGAGGCAGCAGUGGGGAAUAUUGCACAAUGGGCGCAAGCCUGAUGCAGCCAUGCCGCGUGUGUGAAGAAGGCCUUCGGGUUGUAAAGCACUUUCAGUCGUGAGGAAGGUAGUGUAGUUAAUAGCUGCAUCAUUUGACGUUAGCGACAGAAGAAGCACCGGCUAACUCCGUGCCAGC
rnacentral:rRNA from 1 species